rnacentral:lncRNA from 1 species
ACUUUAUUGUUCUGUGUUAGUAUAGUGAAACUGACAGAUUUUAUUUAAACAUCGCGGAAGACACCCGCUUUGAGAACUUUUCCCUCCGUUCACAAGGACAGAGAACUUUACAAAGGACUCUUGCUCUGCCUGGCCUCAUCUAGUUGCUGGCUUUUCUAGAAACAAACGGCCUCCUGGGCCUCCAGUGAACCAUAAGAGUUUUGAGAACCUGAAUAGGACCUUCUUAGCCAUUUUCAGAUUUAAUUGUGCCCGUUUGAAUGGUGGUCUUCACCAUUUCACUCAAAGUGGUGAGUGUAUGCCCGUGUGUAUGUUAAAGAAUUAGCCACAUAUAAUUAUUGUUACAGCUGAAAGCCAGAGCCAGCCUGCCCAGACCCUGGCAGGUUAAUGUUAACAUCACAAAGGUAGGUGACGUUUCCAGUAACCAGCUGCACCCAGGAGUGAGAAAAUAAGGGGAGAGCCAUGAUUUUGUGCACUUCCUGGCUUCAUGGUGGAUGGAGUCUUGUUUCCAUGAAAUAAAGGUUGUUUCAUAGAAUGAAAAACAUAAAUGAUAAAAAGCAAAGUUUGUCCAUUAAAAAUAAAAAGCGU